UACGAAGGGGACUAGCGUUGUUCGGAUUUACUGGGCGUAAAGCGCGCGUAGGCGGCUUUGCAAGUCGGGUGUGAAAUCCCCAGGCUUAACCUGGGAACUGCAUUCGAGACUGCAUUGCUAGAGUAUGGGAGAGGGAAGUGGAAUUUCCGGUGUAGCGGUGAAAUGCGUAGAUAUCGGAAGGAACAUCAGUGGCGAAAGCGACUUUCUGGACCAAUACUGACGCUCAUGUGCGAAAGCGUGGGGAGCAAACAGG
rnacentral:rRNA from 1 species